rnacentral:rRNA from 1 species
AGAGUUUGAUCCUGGCUCAGAUUGAACGCUGGCGGUAGGCUUAGCACAUGCAAGUCGAGCGCGAAAGUUCCUUCGGGGAUGAGUAGAGCGGCGGACGGGUGAGUAACGCGUAGGAAUCUGCCUGGUAGUGGGGGAUAACUCGGGGAAACUCGAGCUAAUACCGCAUACGCCCCAUGGGGGAAAGCGGGGGACCUUCGGGCCUCGUGCUAUCAGAUGAGCCUGCGUCGGAUUAGCUUGUUGGUGAGGUAAUGGCUCACCAAGGCAACGAUCCGUAGCUGGUCUGAGAGGAUGAUCAGCCACACUGGGACUGAGACACGGCCCAGACUCCUACGGGAGGCAGCAGUGGGGAAUAUUGGACAAUGGGGGCAACCCUGAUCCAGCCAUACCGCGUGUGUGAAGAAGGCCUUCGGGUUGUAAAGCACUUUCAGUAGGGAGGAAAAGGUUUCGGUUAAUAACCGGGAUCCCUGACGUUACCUACAGAAGAAGCACCGGCAAACUCCGUG